rnacentral:tRNA from 1 species
GUCGGUCUUGCCGAGGAGGCGCAGGCGGUUCUUGACCGCCUCGAGGCCGGCCUCGGCGGUCUUCAGGUCGCUCUGAGCGCCGAUC